CGUCAGAAGCAAAUCACCUGAACAGAAUUGCUGCUACACCCUCUUCUAGCUCUCCCACAGAACGACGCCUCUCCUGUGUUGCUCCUUCGCCUACACACCCUCUACUCGAAGAGGGUAAAACAUCAGAAGCUUCCAGGGCAACGCAAGUUGAGUGGCAUUCAAAGGAAGGUGGUAACGAGCUAGAGCGACCGUUGCAGCUGCAGCGGCCACUCUCCUGCUGACCUUGCAUGAGUCCUUUAGCUUAUAUCUCAAAACAGAAGCUGCAGCACACUCUGGUUGCCAUUUUCGGGGCUGACUUCCCGAAUGGUGAUGUUCUGCAGCUGUCGCAAAUCUCAGCGAUGUUGCUCGCUUUUUUCUUAGAGCACUUGCUGUGACAAUGCCAAGGUUCUGGCCCAAACAGGGUCGUUUAACUAGGGGUGGAAGGCGUUGAGAUGUUGCAUUGGAACGCCGCCAAGUGUUUAUCUGGAGUGUGUUCUCUUGAUAAUUUAUUUCUCUUUGUUAAUUCUGACAUCAUUUGAAAGUUGAUACUUGCCGUACUAUGGUAUUAGCUGUAGUGCAGUGCUGAUGCUACAACGAAUACUUGAGGCUUCUUUCAAAGCAGAGGGAGUCUAU